GUCGCGUGCGAGUGGGAACCGCUGGCGGACAUGCGCCGCUGGAGGAAAGUCCGAGCUCCACAGGGCAGGAUGCCGGGUAACGCCCGGGCGGCGAGAGCCGAUGGAAAGUGCCACAGAGAGUAGACCGCCGAUGGUCCGGUUGGCUUCACGGUCGCCGGACACAGGUAAGGGUGAAAGGGUGCGGUAAGAGCGCACCGGGCCGGCGGUAACGUCGGUCGCACGGUAAACCCCAUCCGGAGCAAGGCCAAGCAGGGACGAGGAGCUGCCCGCUCCAUCCGAGUCCCGGGUAGGCUGCACGAGGUUCGCAGUAAUGCGGAUCCCAGAGAAAUGGUUCCCCGUCGCUUCGGCGAUGACAGAACUCGGCUUAUUCGCACGCCACCCCC
rnacentral:RNase_P_RNA from 1 species